rnacentral:rRNA from 1 species
UACAGAGGUCUCAAGCGUUAUUCGGAAUUAUUGGGCGUAAAGGGCGCGUAGGCGGCCUUGCAAGUGGCGGGUGAAAUCCCUCGGCUUAACCGAGGAACUGCCUGCCAGACUGCAAGGCUCGAGACCGGGAGAGGUGAGUGGAAUUCCCAGUGUAGCGGUGAAAUGCGUAGAUAUUGGGAGGAACACCAGUGGCGAAGGCGACUACCUGGCCCAUUCUUGACGCUGAGGCGCGAAAGCUAGGGGAGCGAACGGG